UACGAAGGGGGCUAGCGUUGCUCGGAAUCACUGGGCGUAAAGGGUGCGUAGGCGGAUCUUUAAGUCAGGGGUGAAAUCCCGGGGCUCAACCCCGGAACUGCCCUUGAUACUGGAGAUCUUGAGUUCGGGAGAGGUGAGUGGAACUGCGAGUGUAGAGGUGAAAUUCGUAGAUAUUCGCAAGAACACCAGUGGCGAAGGCGGCUCACUGGCCCGAUACUGACGCUGAGGCACGAAAGCGUGGGGAGCAAAC
rnacentral:rRNA from 1 species